CCUGGCAAAAUACUAUUGUCUGGAAGUGGGUGAUUCCUGACUCGGGCUGGUGCUAGAUUACCUAAAUCUGUUGGGGGUGGAUAUGACUGAAUAAUGUUAUUGUUCUAAAUCACAUGGUAGUUAGCUAGCACUUUCGGGAAUAGAAAACAAUUGAAUCAAUGAUCACUCAUUUGUCAAAUGUGGACAUUCUUGUCUCUUUGGCCUAACUUUAGCUAGCCGAUUAUUUAUUAGCUAGUCUUUUUGGUUUAGCCCAGUAUUGGACUAAAGGACCUUACAUGUUCUGUUUAAAGGGCGAAUUGGCCCUGGAAGCCAAAUAUUCCAUCUAAACAUGAUUCGGUUCUCAUUUGCGGUGUUCGGAGAUGCAGAUGGCUUAGUUAGAACAGGUCGUCCACUGUCUUCCCCGUUUCCAUAAACAAGCGCUGUAACAUGGAAAUAUGGCCGUGUGGGAACUCUAACCCUAUAAAGGAACAGAUGUCAGGAGAGAUCGUGGUGAGCUCGGCAGUGCCGGCGGCUACAACCCGACCACCUCCUUCAAGUGCUCCAGUCCCAGCUCCAAGUAUGUGAAGCUGAACGUGGGCGGGGCGCUCUACUACACCACCAUGCAGACCCUCACCAAGCAGGACACCAUGCUCAAGGCCAUGUUCAGCGGCGGGAUCGAGGUCCUCACAGACAGUGAAGAACAAAGAGUCGUACGAGCCGUUCUGUAAACUUCCCCUGGUGACAUCAUCGAAGGAAGAACAGAGACUCAUUGCCACCUCUAGUAAGGCUACUGUCAAACUGUUAUACAACAGAAGCAACAAUAAAUACUCAUACACCA